UCGUUGUAGCAAUACGAUGGAAAGUCUAGUGGCGAACGGGUGCUUAACACGUGGGCAACCUGCCAGGAAGUGGGGGAUAGCUCGCCGAAAGGCGAAUUAAUACCGCAUGUGAUUAGAGAGGACAUCCUUUCGAAAUUAAAGUCGGGGCAACCUGACGCUUCUUGUGGGGCCCGCGGCCUAUCAGCUAGUUGGUGGGGUAAAGGCUCACCAAGGCUUUGACGGGUAGCUGGUCUGAGAGGACGACCAGCCACACUGGGACUGAGACAUGGCCCAGACACCUACGGGUGGCAGCAGUCGAGAAUUUUUGACAAUGGGGGAAACCCUGAUCGAGCGACGCCGCGUGGAGGAUGAAGGUCUUCGGAUUGUAAACUCCUGUCAUUGGGGAACAAGGUGCAUACGUUAACUGCGUGCGCAUUGAUAGUACCCGAAGAGGAAGAGACGGCUAACUCUGUACCAGCAGCCGCGGUAAUACAGAGGUCUCAAGCGUUGUUCGGAUUCAUUGGGCGUAAAGGGUGCGUAGGCGGCGCGGUAAGUCGGGUGUGAAAUCUCGGAGCUUAACUCCGAAACUGCAUUCGAUACUGCCGUGCUUGAGGACUGGAGGGGAGACUGGAAUUCUCGGUGUAGCA
rnacentral:rRNA from 1 species